rnacentral:rRNA from 1 species
AUUGAACGCUGGCGGCAUGCCUUACACAUGCAAGUCGAACGGUAACAGGUCUUCGAGUGCUGACGAGUGGCGAACGGGUGAGUAAUACAUCGGAACGUGCCUAGUAGUGGGGGAUAACUACUCGAAAGAGUGGCUAAUACCGCAUGAGAUCUACGGAUGAAAGCAGGGGAUCGCAAGACCUUGUGCUACUAGAGCGGCCGAUGGCAGAUUAGGUAGUUGGUGGGAUAAAAGCUUACCAAGCCGACGAUCUGUAGCUGGUCUGAGAGGACGAUUAGCCACACUGGGACGGAGACACGGCCCAGACUCCUACGGGAGGCAGCAGUGGGGAAUUUUGGACAAUGGGCGCAAGCCUGAUCCAGCAAUGCCGCGUGCAGGAUGAAGGCCUUCGGGUUGUAAACUGCUUUUGUACGGAACGAAAAGCCCCGGGUUAAUACCCUGGGGUCAUGACGGUACCGUAAGAAUAAGCACCGGCUAGCUACGUGCCAGCCGCCGCAGUAA